UACGUAGGGUGCAAGCGUUGUUCGGAAUUAUUGGGCGUAAAGCGCGCGCAGGCGGUCCUUUAAGUCUGAUGUGAAAGCCCACGGCUCAACCGUGGAGGGUCAUUGGAAACUGGGGGACUUGAGUACAGAAGAGAAGAGUGGAAUUCCACGUGUAGCGGUGAAAUGCGUAGAGAUGUGGAGGAACACCAGUGGCGAAGGCGACUCUUUGGUCUGUAACUGACGCUGAGGCGCGAAAGCGUGGGGAGCAAACAGG
rnacentral:rRNA from 1 species